AUUUGUAGAAAACAAAUUUUGCUAUGAAAGCUUUGAAUCUUAUUAUGCUAUUCACCACUGUGAAUAUAGAACCAUACUAACAAAACCCUCAUAGCAAAAUUUGUUUUCUACAAAUAAAUAAAUGACCGUCGCCAACUCCAGAGACAAUACUCAAAAACUUGCAGACUCAAAUGAAGGAGCACGAGAUUAUGAAGACAUUUUCAUUUGAAUUUGC
rnacentral:misc_RNA from 1 species